rnacentral:rRNA from 1 species
UUUUACAAUGAAGAGUUUGAUCCUGGCUCAGGAUGAACGCUAGCUACAGGCUUAACACAUGCAAGUCGAGGGGCAGCAUGGACUUAGCUUGCUAAGUUUGAUGGCGACCGGCGCACGGGUGAGUAACGCGUAUCCAACCUUCCGUACACUCAGGAAUAGCCUUUCGAAAGAAAGAUUAAUACCUGAUGGUAUGAUGAGAUUGCAUGAAAUCAUCAUUAAAGAUUCAUCGGUGUACGAUGGGGAUGCGUUCCAUUAGAUAGUAGGCGGGGUAACGGCCCACCUAGUCGACGAUGGAUAGGGGUUCUGAGAGGAAGGUCCCCCACAUUGGAACUGAGACACGGUCCAAACUCCUACGGGAGGCAGCAGUGAGGAAUAUUGGUCAAUGGGCGCGAGCCUGAACCAGCCAAGUAGCGUGAAGGAUGAAGGUCCUACGGAUUGUAAACUUCUUUUAUAAGGGAAUAAAGUCACCUACGUGUAGGUGUUUGUAUGUACCUUAUGAAUAAGCAUCGGCUAACUCC